UCCGGGGUGUCUGAGUGGUUUAAGGUGCCGGUCUACGAAACCGGUGUAGGCGAAAGUCUACCGUGGGUUCGAAUCCCAUCCCCUCCGCAA
rnacentral:tRNA from 1 species